AAAGAAGAAGGAUCUCCAGUCAGGCUGAAGUAACACCACAGACCUAAACCUAUUAUAGCUGGACCUCUGAGACGAGCACAGAAACAUUGUUGACGUGGUUGGACACAUUAAGAUCGACCUGAAUCUUCAUCUGAAUACAGCAGCCUUUCUUGUGUUCCAUAGCCUUUAAAUAGGUGUAAGGUUGCCAGCAAAUCCACAAUGGGACGAUCAAGUGAAAUUCCAGAAGCUGUUAAGGAAAAGAUUGUUUUUUACCAUAAGUCUGGUAAGGGAUACAAAUCCAUUUCAAAGAUUACAGGAAUGCACCGAUCCACCAUCAGAUCCAUCAUCCGCAAAUGGAAAACAACUGGAACCUUAAUGAACCUCCCCAGAAGUGGUCGACCGGUUAAAAUCUCUCCGGGUGUAGAACUCAAAAUCAUGAAUGAAAUCGAAAAGAAACCCGACAUCACUUCUAAAGAACUGCAGGCUUUCCUUGCCCUGACUAAAAUUAAAGUUCAUGACUCUACAAUCAGAAGAACGCUGAGAAAACUAGGCUAUGUCAAAGAGUAUGCAGCUCAAAAACCAUGCAUAAAAGAAGAAAUCGAGUCUCCUGAUUUUGAGGAGAAUGUUUUACAGAAAGAAGAGCUAAAGGGGGAUUUUUCUGUGUAAAAGGAAGUCAGAUUGUUCUAUACUGUACAGUAUUAUAUAUCAUUUUGAAGUAGUCUCAUCGUAUGAGACUCAACUGUAAUAUAAGAGGACUGUUCAUUUAUAUUAUUAUUCAUAUGGAAAGGAAAUUAAAGUGUACAGAAUUUAAGUUAAUUUUGAUUAGUUGCUAUCUGAAAUAUUGAAUCAUCUGUCAAUGAGAUUUAUUGUCAUCUCAUUCAUCCAUUUUGUUUUUGCACAUUAAAAAAUAUAAAAAUUUCUUUAUAUUGCUGCAUGUACAAUGCUUGAAUGAUGAUAAAACUAUUCAGAGAUGGUUAGUAGCUAUUUUGUGUUUUAUGCUGCACAAUUUUAAUGAAACUCUUUUAUAUAUUUUUUUAUUCUUUUGGCUGAAUUUAUGGGAAAUGGGGGAAAAACAUUGUCAAAAUAAUUUAUUUUAUUCCUAAAAUAAAAAUAAGUUUUAAAUCAAUCAACACAAUUAACAUAGUAAAAUAAUAAAUAUGAAAUUGAAUAUUUUAAUGAAUAAUUGUAAAAUGCAAAUAAACAUGUAAAGACUCAUUAAACAAGUUUUAAUAGUUCUG
rnacentral:lncRNA from 1 species